UUCAAAUCAGCAUAAACCAAACAAACCUGUGACCCAGAAUACAAAGUCAAACAUGAGGCUAAAUAGUUAGAGUACAUAGUUCACUUGUCAUAAAACACCUACAAAACCUACGUUCACACCCUAUGAUCAUGCUAUUUAAUAUUGAAAUUAAACACUACACUGCAAACACAAACCCAGCUUUAUAAUGUGCCAGUGGCGAAUUAUUUAAACCUAUCAUUGCAAACUAAUACACGAUAGGAAACAUCAGAAUAAAUAGAGAAAAGAAAAGAAAAAAAAUUGAAUUAUCUACAGCUUGUAUUCCAUCAAAUCCAUUGAAUUACACAAUCAACGUUAGUCAUUGUUCAUUGAGAUAAGAAGGAUACCUGGCAAACAAAGUAAGAGAGAAGUGAGAAAAUCAGCAGUAACCAGUAGCAAACAGCCGAGAUUUGCUCAAUCAAACAGUAAUCAACUCAGUAAAACCAAUAGAAUAGUACACGGAUCCCAAAAAAACAGACUUUAAACCAAAAUUAAUCUACUUUCAUCACCAAACGUUCAACCUCAAAGGUUUUCCAGACAUUCUAAAUCGAGAGAAUGAUUUAGAGAAUUGAAACAUGAAACCUAAAUCAAUUCAAGCAACUCUCAACAUUUUUUAUUGGAUUUUCAGAAGGAAAUAAAAAAAUAUAAGCUUCACUAUUUCUUUCUAUCAUUUUUUUUGUUCUCCAGG
rnacentral:lncRNA from 1 species